rnacentral:rRNA from 1 species
AUUGAACGCUGGCGGCAUGCCUUACACAUGCAAGUCGAACGGCAGCACGGGAGCAAUCCUGGUGGCGAGUGGCGAACGGGUGAGUAAAGUAUCGGAACGUGCCCAGUCGUGGGGGAUAACGUAGCGAAAGUUACGCUAAUGCCGCAUACGAUCUAUGGAUGAAAGCGGGGGAUCGCAAGACCUCGCGCGAUUGGAGCGGCCGAUAUCAGAUUAGGUAGUUGGUGGGGUAAAGGCUCACCAAGCCGACGAUCUGUAGCUGGUCUGAGAGGACGACCAGCCACACUGGGACUGAGACACGGCCCAGACUCCUACGGGAGGCAGCAGUGGGGAAUUUUGGACAAUGGGCGAAAGCCUGAUCCAGCCAUGCCGCGUGCAGGAUGAAGGCCUUCGGGUUGUAAACUGCUUUUGUACGGAACGAAAAGGUUUGGCCUAAUAAGCUGAGCUCAUAACGGUACCGUAAGAAUAAGCACCGGCUAACUACGAGCCAGCCGCCGCGGUAA